rnacentral:rRNA from 1 species
AUACGUAGGGUGCAAGCGUUAAUCGGAAUUACUGGGCGUAAAGCGUGCGCAGGCGGUUUUGUAAGACAGUGGUGAAAACCCCGGGGUCCAACUGGGAACUGCCCUUGUAACUGAACAGCUGGGGGGCGGCAGAGGGGGGUGGAAUUCCGAGUGGAGAGGUGAAAUGCGUAGAUAUGCGGAGGAACACCGAUGGCGAAGGCAAUCCCCUGGGCCUGCACUGACGCUCAUGCACGAAAGCGUGGGGAGCAAACAGGAUUAGAUACCCUGGUAGUCCACGCCCUAAACGAUGUCAACUGGUUGUUGGGGAUUUAUUUUCUCAGUAACGAAGCUAACGCGUGAAGUUGACCGCCUGGGGAGUACGGCCGCAAGGUUAAAACUCAAAUGAAUUGACGGGG